rnacentral:rRNA from 1 species
GACGAACGCUGGCGGCGUGCCUAAUACAUGCAAGUAGAACGCUGAAGGAGGAGCUUGCUUCUCCGGAUGAGUUGCGAACGGGUGAGUAACGCGUAGGUAACCUGCCUGGUAGCGGGGGAUAACUAUUGGAAACGAUAGUUAAUACCGCAUAACAGUAGAUAUUGCAUGAUAUCUUCUUGAAAGGUGCAAUUGCAUCACUACCAGAUGGACCUGCGUUGUAUUAGCUAGUUGGUGAGGUAACGGCUCACCAAGGCGAAGAUACAUAGCCGACCUGAGAGGGUGAGGGGACACACUGGGACUGAGACACGGCCCAGACGCAUACGGGAGGCAGCAGUAGGGAAUCGUCGGAAAUGGACGGAAGUCUGACCGAGCAACGCCGAGGGAGUGAAGAAGGUUUUCGGAUCGUAAAGCUCUGUUGUAAGAGAAGAACGAGUGUGAGAGUGGAAAGUUCACACUGUGACGGUAUCUGACCAGAAAGGGACGGCUAACUACGUG